UGAAUUUCAAAUGAUGAGGUAUUUAAAUUUGAUACUUCAUUUGAAACGCAAUUUCAAAUCUUCAAUCAUUUCAAAUGCACAUCUCUGUAAAUGGAGCCUAAGAUAAUAUCAUUUGCUAGUUUGCAGUCAAUUUAUAAUGAUCUGAAUAUAUUCAGAUAAACUUAGUUUUCUAGAUCCUCUUGUCAUUAGUUCUAUAACUUGACUUCUCUUUAAAAAAUUCCUGAUCUCAUUGGAUUUCAGUGGAUGUAUUCUCUAAUUGCACAUCUGAUGUCUAUUUCUUUUGAGUGCUAUAAUCUACCAAAACAUUUGUUUCUUCAAUGUAUAUUAUUUAUAGAAUGUGAACAGAAAUGCAGUGGAGAGAAUUGGCACUGACACCCAACCAAAUAUUUUCUUCUUUAGUUUUGCUGAAAAAUGCAAUUUCAAGCAUAGACUUUUGCUCUGGCAUUAAUGCUGGAUUGCUGCUCCAUAAGCUGAGAGAUGUAGUAAGAGCUUAGCUCUUAGUUAGGGAAGGAGCGCAUAGAAAGAGCCUUAUAGAAAAUACAUUCAACCUUCCUCCUUUGUAGAGCAUCCAGGGACAGGAAUUGAUUGUGCUCCAUAUUACAUACCUGUGGUUGCUUGCUCACCCAAUCUUCUCCUCCUCAACAACCACCAAAUGAACAUGGAUAGAUAACCUUCCCUCUGGAGCAUCCAGUGGCAGGAUUUACUUGUGCUCCAUACCCAUGCAUUAAUUUUCUUACUCAAUAUUCAACAAUCCACCCCCAUCAAUG
rnacentral:misc_RNA from 1 species